CAAUAGCGUAUAUUAAAGUUGUUGCGGUUAAAAGCUCGUAGUUGGAUUUCUGCCUGAGGCAGCCGGUCCGCACUUAGUGCGUGUAUCUGGUUUGGUUUGGGCAUCCUCUUGGGGAUCGUUGCUGUGCUUAGUUGCAUGGUGCGGAAUUCAAGACGUUUACUUUGAGGAAAUUAGAGUGGUUACGGCAAGCUAUCGCUUUGAAUACAUUAGCAUGGAAUAAUAAUAUAGGACUUUGGCCCUAUUUUGUUGGUUUCUAGGACUAAAGUAAUGAUUAACAGGGAUAUUUGGGGGCAUUUGUAUUAACCGGUCAGAGGUGGAAUUCUUGGAUUCGGUUACGACAAACUAAUGCGAAAGCAUUUGCCAAGGAUGUUUUCAUUGAUCAAGAACGAAAGUGUGGGGAUCGAAGAUGAUCAGAUACCAU
rnacentral:rRNA from 1 species